GACGUAGGGCGCGAGCGUUGUCCGGAUUUAUUGGGCGUAAAGAGCUCGUAGGCGGCUUGUCGCGUCGACCGUGAAAACUCGCAGCUCAACUGCGAGCCUGCGGUCGAUACGGGCAGGCUAGAGUUCGGUAGGGGAGACUGGAAUUCCUGGUGUAGCGGUGAAAUGCGCAGAUAUCAGGAGGAACACCGAUGGCGAAGGCAGGUCUCUGGGCCACUACUGACGCUGAGAAGCGAAAGCAUGGGGAGCGAACAGG
rnacentral:rRNA from 1 species